rnacentral:lncRNA from 1 species
GGGCCGGGGGCGAGAGCCGGGAGGGCAGGGCGCGGGGCUGCCCGGGCCUCGGCCUUCCCGCCCCCCGGGCGCCUCGGGACCGCCGCCUGCCCCGGCCGGGAGCUUUGUUCUUUCUCCCCAACUACCUGUCUGAGCAGCGGGCCGGAGGGGGCCGAAGGAAAGGGCCCCCGCUCCGGGAGGGGCUCCCCAUCAGCAUCCGAGGGGCGCGCUCGGGGAGAAUGGGGUAGCGCCGCGCCUCCCUGUCUGCCUCCCUCCCUGCCUUUCCUCUUCUGUCUUCUCUUUUGUUGCCUCUACUCUUGGACACGACACAGCCUUUGCUGUACCCCCUCCCACUUGGGAGUUUGCAGUGUGGACGCACAGCGAACACAACUGGCCUGCGAAGGGUUGCAGUUAUGACAGUGCCGAUGACAGCUUCCAUCUGUGUGGUGCCCUGGCAUUCGGGAACCUUCCAUCAUCUGACUGGCCUGUGGCAUCAGGGAGGGGAGGGGGCAGUGGCCUGUGCAAGGCAGCCAUGACGGGGACAGUCAGGAGGAGAGGCCCUGCCCAUCUGCCUUUCCAGACUUGAGAUCAGAUGUGGCUUCUCUUUGGCUUCAGAUUUGGAAGCUGAAGUUCAGGUCAGCACUCAAGAUCUCCAGGGCCCUAUUCAGUGGCCCUGGAAUGACACUGCAGCGUCCCUGAAGUCAUCCUUGGAGUCCCGGGGAGUGGGGACCCACAUGCUGUGGCCAGAGUAGGGCAGGUAUCCAUCUGCCACUGACAGUGCUGUGAACGAACGCUGAGUUGCCAGCUUUGGAAUUACGUGGCUCCUGACAGGCUCUAGAAUGUGGUGUGAUGUGUAUUAUUUAAAUUCUGUGCAAAAAAUCAGACUUUUUAGCAUUUCCACGGAAAAUUUUGCAUACCUCUCUUAUUGAAUAUGAAUACACUGGUUUUAGCUUUUUACCAAGCCCAGCACCAUUCGUGUCACUAGGUUGUUGUUGAGAAAUGAAAGAGCAUGAGCCUGUGAUGAAGAUGUGCACUGUCCUUAGAAGCCAUUCUUGUAACAUCAAAAGGAUCAGCUUGUUCUAUCUUGGGGCACUGGGAAUAAACAGAGGCUUCUAGAUUAGAAAAGGAAGCCCACCAAGAGAGGGCAACAUUGGCCAACGGGGACUUGCUGUGUGGCACGGAGAACUUUACCCAAUAUUCUGUGAUUAUCUUUGUGGGACGAGAACCUGAAAGAGAACAGGUGUGUGUCUACAUACGACAGGGUCACUUUGUUGGACAGCAGAAAUGAUCACAACCUUGUAAAUGACCUUCACACCAAUAAAACAAACAAACAAAAGAACUUGAGAUAACA